rnacentral:piRNA from 1 species
UCCGUGCAUAUGUGACCUACUCUUACACAGA